GAAUAUUCAGACUUGCCUUUGAGAAUUGAUUAGCCGACUCUAUUGUUAUUGUUGUAAGCUGCUGUCCAGAUUGAGCAGAAUGUUUCUGUUGAAAAACAUCAUCCAAGUUUGAGCAGAAUAUCAUCCCUGUUGUAAUUUCCUAGCUGUUAGCUACUGAUUUCCUAGCUGUCCAGAUUUUCAUUUCUGUUCUGUUCUUUAUCACAAAAUUUCCUAGCUGCUGUCCAGAUUUUCAUUUCUGUUCAGUGUGAUAUGUAUCCAUCCUGUGUACACUGGCUGCUAUGGAUUUUUUUUGCUCUGAAGAUGUUGUUCCACUGGCUGCUAUGGAUUUUUUUUGCUCUGAAGAUGUUGUUUCUUAGAGUGAUCUAUAUGCAUUUGCAGCUUUAUGAUGUGUCAUUAUAUUAGAUGGUCUGUAAUUACACAAUGUUGCGAUAGUAUCAAGAUCUCAG
rnacentral:lncRNA from 1 species